rnacentral:rRNA from 1 species
GAUGAACGCUAGCUACAGGCUUAACACAUGCAAGUCGAGGGGCAGCGGGAUUGAAGCUUGCUUUCUCGCCGGCGACCGGCGCACGGGUGCGUAACGCGUAUCGAACCUACCCUUUACUCGGGGAACAGCCUUGCGAAAGCAAGAUUAAUGCCCGAUGUUCCGCGUUUGCUGCAUGGCAAAUUCGGCAAAGAUUUAUUGGUAAAGGAUGGCGAUGCGUCCCAUUAGUUAGUUGGCGGGGUAACGGCCCACCAAGACGACGAUGGGUAGGGGUUCUGAGAGGAAGGUCCCCCACAUUGGAACUGAGACACGGUCCAAACUCCUACGGGAGGCAGCAGUGAGGAAUAUUGGUCAAUGGGCGCAAGCCUGAACCAGCCAAGUAGCGUGCAGGAUGACGGCCCUAUGGGUUGUAAACUGCUCUCAGUCGGGAAUAACUCGUCGGUCGUGACCGACGUUGCAGGUACCGUCAUAAGAAGGACCGGCUAAUUCCGUG